CCAAUCAGCCUCCUAUAUGCAAGUCGAGCGGAUUGAUGGGAGCUUGCUCCCAUCAUAUCAGCGGCGGACGGGUGAGUAACACGUGGGUAACCUGCCUGUAAGACUGGGAUAACUCCGGGAAACCGGGGCUAAUACCGGAUAACUCAUUUCCUCGCAUGAGGAAAUGUUGAAAGAUGGCUUCUUGCUUUCCCUUACAAAUGGACCCCCGGCCCAUUACCUAUUUGGUGAGGUAACGGCUCACCAAGGCAACAAUGCUUACCCAACCUGAAAGGGUGAUCGGCCACCCUGGGACUGAAACACGGCCCAAACUCCUACGGGAGGCACCAUUAGGGAAUCUUCCCCAAGGGACAAAAGUCUGACGGACCACCCCCCCGUGAUUGAUGAAGGUUUUCGAAUCGUAAAACUCUGUUGUUAGGGAAAAACAAUUACCGUUCAAAUAGGGCGGUACCUUGACGGUACCUAACCAAAAAGCCACGGCUAACUACUUGCCACCACCCCCGGUAAUACUUAGGUGCCAGGCGUUCCGGGAAUAAUGGGGGUAAGCGCGCGAAGGUGUUUCUAAUCUGAUGUGAAGCCACGGUCACCGUGGAGGUCAUGGAACUGGGACUUGAGUGCAAGAGGAAGUGAAUCCAG
rnacentral:rRNA from 1 species